GGCCUCCUCAAAUGCCACACCAGCAGGGAGAGAGAGGGCUAGCUUGUUAGCACUGAUGGGAAUGGAAGUCCAGGCUCUCCAAGUGGACACCACAGUGAAUAGGGAGGAGAGUUAUAACUCAGCAGGGAUAAGCCCCAGCUCCCUACUCAGCCUUCUCUGACACCACCGAGUCAGGGGUUGAGGAGUCUUCUUAGAACCUGACGAAGGUUGCCAGCUUCUCCAGCAUCAAGUCUGGGAUAGAUGAGCAAAAAGAGAACCCAGGGAGAACUCACCACCAUGUCAUUCCUCAGAUCCAGCCAGGUUUGCACUCUGCCAGUCUACAAUGGGCUGCCCAGACCUUCAUCCCUUCUGAGGCACUGAGUCCCUGCCUACCUUGCCCUUGUAAGGCCAUGGUUGCUGCAAUUGCCCUCCUGUCAUUACCAAGUCAGAGAUGUACCAAGAGCAAGUCCUUUAAGUUCCAGACAUGUUCUGCUCUGCCCCUGUAGCAGCGACCUUAUCUUUCUUAAUAAUCAGGCCAAU
rnacentral:lncRNA from 1 species